GUCUACCUACGGGGGCAGCAGUGGGGGAUAUUGCACAAUGGGGGGAACCCUGAUGCAGCGACGCCGCGUGGGUGAAGAAGCGCCUCGGCGCGUAAAGCCCUGUCAGCAGGGAAGAAAAUGACGGUACCUGAAGAAGAAGCCCCGGCUAACUACGUGCCAGCAGCCGCGGUAAUACGUAGGGAGCAAGCGUUAUCCGGAUUUAUUGGGUGUAAAGGGUGCGUAGACGGGAAGGCAAGUUAGUUGUGAAAUCCCUCGGCUUAACUGAGGAACUGCAACUAACACUAUCUUUCUUGAGUGCUGGAUGG
rnacentral:rRNA from 1 species